CACAGGAGCCUGGCUGAACCCAGAUAAGAGGCCAAACAGUACCAAAAUGGUCUGCCUUGUCACCACUAAAUGGGACCAGGGUACUCCUUAAACCAUAACCACUACAGAGGAUUGUUGUGGUUAUAAUGAUUGUAAUGACCCUUUAAAACUGCUAUUGGGCAAAACUAACCUGCUGUGUUUUGUAAAGCGCCAAGUCAUAACAAAGAUACUAAUGAACACACAGAAUGUAUACUGGAUAGAUAUGUGCAUACAGUGUCCAUAUACAUGUGGCCAGCCUGGUGUGCAGAGUGCCACAAUAAAAGCAAUGUAACCAGAAUGUGCUGAAUUCAGUACAAG